rnacentral:tRNA from 1 species
GGGGUUGUGGCUCAGUGGUAGAGUGCUCACCUAGCAUGGGUGAAGCCCAGGGCUCGAUCCUCAGCACCACA